ACCCAUUUGAGAUUUGGAUCUUCAAACUAAUAAGGUUUAUUUAUAAAAGGGGUUUAUUGCAUAAAUGAGCUAUCCCAUAAUUUUUGGAUAAUUUUUGGAGUUGAAAAACUAUUUAUUUAAAUAGUUAUUUAGCCCUAAAGGCAUUUAUUGGGCAAAUGUAUUUUUGUAUAUUUUAUUUUGAGGGGAAAUUACUCCCAAAAGUUGUAUCAUGAUAAAACAUGAUUUUACAAAUUGUAUCAUGGAAUUUAUUUGGACCAAUUUAGAGUUCAAAAUCAAAAAAUAUCAAAGAAAUGAGAAAAGGAGAAAAAGAAAAGGCUAAAAGAAAAAAAAGGGAGAAAACCGGACCGGCCCGGCCAAAUGGACCGAACCUGCCCCGCUUCGCCCGCACCGAACCGGACCAAGCCAGCCCAGCCGCACGCACGCGCGCCCGCAGCCAC
rnacentral:lncRNA from 1 species